rnacentral:tRNA from 1 species
GGGGAGGUAGCUCAGUCGGUAGAGCAACGGAUUUUUAAUCCGUAGGUCCGGGGUUCGAGCCCCCGCCUCCUCA